AUGGCGAAUGUCAGAAGUCUUAUUGGCAUUUUGUGUACAAAACAGUUAAAUAUCUUCGUGACACCUCAAGUAAACAAAAUUUCAGCAAGAUUUCUACACAAUUGUCUCCACUGUAACAAAUUUUCGGUCAAUUUCAAUGUCACAAACUCUCCGGUAAAAAACGUUUUACACAUUUCAUCCCGAAAAAUCCACCUAAACCCGGUUUUGCGUGCGGCGAAAGACUAUUACCAAAUUCUGGGGGUUAGUCGUAACGCAUCUGGGGCCGAAAUAAAGAAGGCUUAUUAUAAACUAGCGAAAAAGUAUCAUCCCGAUGUCAAUAAAGAUGACCCAAAUGCGGCUAAAAAAUUCCAAGAGGUGUCCGAAGCGUACGAGAUACUUGGCGACGAAACCAAACGGAAGCAAUUUGACACGUUUGGCGCCACGUCCGAGCAGAUGGGCGGCAUGGGGAGCGGCGGUGGCCCCCGUCCCGGCGCCCAAGGCUUCGCCGAAAGCUGGCAAUACCAGUCAACCAUUAACCCGGAAGAACUCUUCCGGAAAAUUUUCGGAGAGGCCGGUUUUGGCAAAAGCGGGGGAUUUGAUGAUUUUGCUGAAUCGAAUUUUGGGUUUGGACAAGCACAAGAGGUUGUGGUUAAAUUGAGCUUCUUGCAAGCCGCAAGGGGGACUAAUAAGGAUAUUACUGUCAAUGUUGUGGACACCUGUCCCAAGUGUCACGGCUCGAGGUGCGAACCAGGCACCAAGGCCACACGGUGCACACAUUGUGAUGGGACUGGGAUGGAAAGUGUGACCCGGGGGCCCUUUAUUAUGCGGUCCACUUGUAGGUAUUGCCAAGGAAGUCGUAUGUUUAUCAAACAUAAGUGUGUCGAGUGUGAGGGAAAGGGACAAACGGUGCAAAGGAAAAGGAUCACGGUGCCAGUACCAGCAGGUAUUGAAGACGGUCAAACUGUGAGAAUGUCGGUAGGGCAAAAAGAAUUGUUUAUAACGUUUCAUAUUGAAAAAUCGCGCUAUUUCAAACGAGACGGGGCUGAUGUACACACGGAGGCCGAAAUUUCCGUGGCGCAGGCACUUUUAGGGGGCACCAUCCGUAUAGAAGGGUUGUACGAAGACCACAUGAUACAGGUAAUGCCGGGAACGUCGUCACACACCCGAAUAAGACUUGCCGGCAAAGGCAUGAAAAAAGUAGAUGGUUACGGUCAUGGUGACCAUUAUGUCACUUUCAAAAUAGCUGUACCAAAACAACUUUCUCCUAAACAAAAAGCCCUAGCCCAGGCAUAUGCCGAGCUGGAAACUGAUACUCCGGGACAAAUUUUAGGAGUGACGUUAAAAACUGAUGGCAAAGACAAGGACGAAAUGCCUCUCGCAGGUUCUGAAGCUAAAUCUCAAGCGGAGAGAGAAAAACCGAGUCUUCUUUCAAAAAUCAAAUCGGCAUUGUUUGGCUAAUUAAAACAAUGUAUAGUUUGAUUUUUUUAUUUGUAUAUAACAGUAGCAAAAUUUUUGUCUCGAAAGACAAACAAGAACUUUUAGAAGCCCUUAGGUUAGUGCUACAAGAAAGUUGUAGAUAGAGAUGUUGAUAAUGAAAAUGUUAGCGACACUGAAGAAGCAAAAAGAAAUAAAAUGCCAUAACUGUUUUGUUAACUAGUUUUAUAUUAAAAUGUUAUUCUAAAGAAAGAAUAAACCGACUAGAAUCUAAA